rnacentral:rRNA from 1 species
GUUAUAUGGUCAAGUGAAGAAGCGCAUACGGUGGAUGCCUUGGCAGUCAGAGGCGAUGAAAGACGUGGUAGCCUGCGAAAAGCUUCGGGGAGUCGGCAAACAGACUGUGAUCCGGAGAUAUCUGAAUGGGGGAACCCAGCCAUCAUAAGAUGGUUAUCUUGUACUGAAUACAUAGGUGCAAGAGGCGAACCAGGGGAACUGAAACAUCUAAGUACCCUGAGGAAAAGAAAUCAACCGAGAUUCCCUUAGUAGUGGCGAGCGAACGGGGACCAGCCCUUAAGUUGUAUUGAGAUUAGCGGAACGUUCUGGAAAGGACGGCCAUAGUGGGUGAUAGCCCUGUACGCGAAAAUCCUUUUGCAAUGAAAUCGAGUAGGACGGGGCACGAGAAACCUUGUCUGAAUAUGGGGGGACCAUCCUCCAAGGCUAAAUACUACUGACUGACCGAUAGUGAACCAGUACCGUGAGGGAAAGGCGAAAAGAACCGCGGAGAGCGGAGUGAAAUAGAUCCUGAAACCGUAUGCGUACAAGCAGUGGGAGCCCACUUGUUGGGUGACUGCGUACCUUUUGUAUAAUGGGUCAGCGACUUAUUUUCAGUGGCGAGCUUAACCGAAUAGGGGAGGCGUAGCGAAAGCGAGUCUUAAUAGGGCGUCUAGUCGCUGGGAAUAGACCCGAAACCGGGCGAUCUAUCCAUGGGCAGGUUGAAGGUUGGGUAACACUAACUGGAGGACCGAACCGACUACCGUUGAAAAGUUAGCGGAUGACCUGUGGAUCGGAGUGAAAGGCUAAUCAAGCUCGGAGAUAGCUGGUUCUCCUCGAAAGCUAUUUAGGUAGCGCCUCAUGUAUCACUGUAGGGGGUAGAGCACUGUUUCGGCUAGGGGGUCAUCCCGACUUACCAAACCGAUGCAAACUCCGAAUACCUACAAGUGCCGAGCAUGGGAGACACACGGCGGGUGCUAACGUCCGUCGUGAAAAGGGAAACAACCCAGACCGUCAGCUAAGGUCCCAAAGUCAUGGUUAAGUGGGAAACGAUGUGGGAAGGCUUAGACAGCUAGGAGGUUGGCUUAGAAGCAGCCACCCUUUAAAGAAAGCGUAAUAGCUCACUAGUCGAGUCGGCCUGCGCGGAAGAUGUAACGGGGCUCAAACCAUGCACCGAAGCUACGGGUAUCAUCUUUUGAUGAUGCGGUAGAGGAGCGUUCUGUAAGCCUGUGAAGGUGAGUUGAGAAGCUUGCUGGAGGUAUCAGAAGUGCGAAUGCUGACAUGAGUAACGACAAUGGGUGUGAAAAACACCCACGCCGAAAGACCAAGGUUUCCUGCGCAACGUUAAUCGACGCAGGGUUAGUCGGUCCCUAAGGCGAGGCUGAAAAGCGUAGUCGAUGGAAAACAGGUUAAUAUUCCUGUACUUCUGGUUAUUGCGAUGGAGGGACGGAGAAGGCUAGGCCAGCCUGGCGUUGGUUGUCCAGGUUUAAGGUGGUAGGCUGAGAUCUUAGGUAAAUCCGGGAUCUUAAGGCCGAGAGCUGAUGACGAGUGUUCUUUUAGAACACGAAGUGGUUGAUGCCAUGCUUCCAAGAAAAGCUUCUAAGCUUCAGGUAACCAGGAACCGUACCCCAAACCGACACAGGUGGUUGGGUAGAGAAUACCAAGGCGCUUGAGAGAACUCGGGUGAAGGAACUAGGCAAAAUGGCACCGUAACUUCGGGAGAAGGUGCGCCGGUGGAGGUGAAGCAUUUACUGCGUAAGCCCCUGCCGGUCGAAGAUACCAGGCCGCUGCGACUGUUUAUUAAAAACACAGCACUCUGCAAACACGAAAGUGGACGUAUAGGGUGUGACGCCUGCCCGGUGCCGGAAGGUUAAUUGAUGGGGUUAGCGCAAGCGAAGCUCUUGAUCGAAGCCCCGGUAAACGGCGGCCGUAACUAUAACGGUCCUAAGGUAGCGAAAUUCCUUGUCGGGUAAGUUCCGACCUGCACGAAUGGCGUAACGAUGGCGGCGCUGUCUCCACCCGAGACUCAGUGAAAUUGAAAUCGCUGUGAAGAUGCAGUGUAUCCGCGGCUAGACGGAAAGACCCCGUGAACCUUUACUAUAGCUUUGCACUGGACUUUGAAUUUGCUUGUGUAGGAUAGGUGGGAGGCUUUGAAGCGUGGACGCCAGUCUGCGUGGAGCCAACCUUGAAAUACCACCCUGGCAACUUUGAGGUUCUAACUCAGGUCCGUUAUCCGGAUCGAGGACAGUGUAUGGUGGGUAGUUUGACUGGGGCGGUCUCCUCCUAAAGAGUAACGGAGGAGUACGAAGGUGCGCUCAGACCGGUCGGAAAUCGGUCGUAGAGUAUAAAGGCAAAAGCGCGCUUGACUGCGAGACAGACACGUCGAGCAGGUACGAAAGUAGGUCUUAGUGAUCCGGUGGUUCUGUAUGGAAGGGCCAUCGCUCAACGGAUAAAAGGUACUCCGGGGAUAACAGGCUGAUACCGCCCAAGAGUUCAUAUCGACGGCGGUGUUUGGCACCUCGAUGUCGGCUCAUCACAUCCUGGGGCUGAAGCCGGUCCCAAGGGUAUGGCUGUUCGCCAUUUAAAGUGGUACGCGAGCUGGGUUUAGAACGUCGUGAGACAGUUCGGUCCCUAUCUGCCGUGGACGUUUGAGAUUUGAGAGGGGCUGCUCCUAGUACGAGAGGACCGGAGUGGACGAACCUCUGGUGUUCCGGUUGUCACGCCAGUGGCAUUGCCGGGUAGCUAUGUUCGGAAAAGAUAACCGCUGAAAGCAUCUAAGCGGGAAACUUGCCUCAAGAUGAGAUCUCACUGGAACCUUGAGUUCCCUAAAGGGCCGUCGAAGACUACGACGUUGAUAGGUUGGGUGUGUAAGCGCUGUGAGGCGUUGAGCUAACCAAUACUAAUUGCCCGUGAGGCUUGACCAUAUAACACCCAAGCAAUU